rnacentral:lncRNA from 1 species
CCAAAAACAUGAUGUAAAAGAUAAAUAUGUUCAUACAUACUUUAAAUCAAAUAAUUGAAGUAUAAAAUUACUUUUACAGUGACACAUGGGCCCCCAACUGACCAAGAAGGUGUAGGGCUACGAACCUUUACUUUCUAGGAUGCAACUCCGAGAUUAAUUCUCGUCUUAAUCAACUAUCAACAAACUGUCCUGAGCCUGAAAAAUGGAUAGGAAGAGGGGUGAGAUUAUGAUUACAUAAUCCCAGUGAGUAAACAAUUACCAUCAAAAGCAUCUAAAGCCGAGUAGAUGGAGAUAAUAUAAAAACAUUAUAUCUCAAUAAUGUUCAUAAUGCAAAAUUCAUUUCAAUCUACACCAAACAAUUUCUUUUCAUCAAAAUUUCCCUGCUUAUGAAUUUCUUAAACUUGGCCCCUACCAGAAUCAUUCUCACAAGUAUCCUCGUCAAGGUAUCCCAUUCAGACCGCCAAGGCUGUCAAAUGACCUAUACCCAAAAACAUGUUUUCACAUUUGACACAACCGUUCAUUGGUGUUGGCUGAGUCUUACUCUCACGUGGUGGCCCGAACGUGAGGUGCACUCAAAUCUUACCUCAAGAGAUACUUCAUCCAACAUCUCCCCCCGGAGGUAAUUAUAUAAUUGCGUUACCGUACCCCUCUCAUAGGCAGUCCACGGAAACCCCCACCACUGCAGUGACUAUUUAAUAUACCACCAGACCCAUAAAAAUUCCAGUAGCAUAAUAUGGCAAAUAAAAUGUAAUUCAGUCUACCGAGACCAAUCCAAAACUAUUCAUAUAUUUCAUGCCAACCCCAAAAAUUUAGCUAUCAUGCUACCAUAGUGUCAUAAGCCACAAUUUCAAUAACAUAUAAAAUUAUAAAUUCAACAUAGUCUCCAUAUACUCAAUUUUCCCAAAACAAUAUUUGAUUUCAAAACCAGUAUAAAUCUCAUUUUUUUUUAUAAAAAAAAACAUUUUAAUUGAAAAACAUAAUAUUUUAUAAUUCAAACUCACCAUUCAAUAAGAACAUCAAACAAGUAUAAUUCUUUAGAUAUUUAAGACGAUAAAUUGUCCACUCACAGUAUUAGGAGUAGAAAUACUCCUAUUUUUAGUCCGCGGGUACAGUUUUUUACCCGUAUCCAAUGGCUCACCACCUAGCCAUAAUUCAUGACACAUAUUCCAAUUAAAUUGUGUCUAACAGUCUUAAGCUAUUUCAGGCUCGAUAUAUAUGCAUGAUAUGAAAUGAAAUGAAAAAUGCACGGGUAGCCAUCUAGACCCGGUAUUGGCCUAAGUCAAUUUUUCAUUCGAUAAAUUGGCCAAUGCGUCCAAUUUCACUCCAACUUGCUCCAUUUCUUUUCCAAUCCCUCAACUCACCAAACACAACUAAUUAACACACAUCUUCACUUUUCUUCUUGGAACUUUCAGCCAACAAUGGUACACUAACUUCGUGAUUUUUCCUACUUAAUUUUCUCUCCAUAAUUCAUUAAUUCCUACACCAAAAACUAUUAUUUCUUAAUCAAAUCACCUAGAAUAACAUCCCAUUCUUCCUCAUUAUUCACUUAGAGAAUUCGGCUAUUGAUGGGCACCAAACCUUUGGUGGUUUUCUUCACUUGUUUUCAUGCUACAUAUCAUUAAUCACCUAAAAACACUAACAUACCUAAAAAUCAAACCAAUCCAAGAUCAUUCUCUCUCCAUACCCAUUUUGACCAGCCAUGAAUUCAUCAUGAAAACAUGUAAUUUAACCAUGGGAAUUAAGGGAAAAUGGAUGGGUAAGGUAAAUCACUAGCAAAAUCAAAGAAAUUUUACCUUUGCUUGAUCAAAUCCUUGAAUUCCAACACGUUCGCUUUGAUUUUUCUCACCUAGGGUUUGUUCUUCCUUGGUUUCUCUUCUCUUCUGGUUUGGCUGAUCAUUAUGGGAGAAAUGGGCUGAUUUUUUACCUUUUUAUAAAGAAAUAAUAAAAUAAUAAAAACAUGACACAUGGCAUUUCCUUAUUGGUUCAAAUUUUAAAUAUUUGACUUUUAAUUCUUUAAUUCUCUACCACACAUUUCUCAUGUUUAUCCAUUUCCAUGAUGAAUAAAAUCUCUUGGUCUUGACAAGUGUCGGGGGUGAAAAUCUACCGAUUUGCCCCCAAGAUGGCAAAAUUACCAUUUCACCUCUAUACUCUAAAUUAUACCGAAAUUAAAAUUUUUCACUUAUAAACCUCAAAUCAUACUCCAAUAAGUCAAAUGGGGCCAAAAAGUCUUUUCUAAAAAUUCCCAUUUUGUCCCCAAGUGGCAAAUGACCAUUUUACCCCUAGAUAGUGAAAAUUCUGGUUUGACUCCAAAUUGAUCUUUGAAUUCCGAAUUACCAUUUUGAGUCAUCCUUGAACUGUGAAACUCUUAAUUUCACCUUCAAAUUCCUAUUUGAACUAGUUCGAGGCUUAAUCGACUUAAUGGUACCAUUAAGUGCAAUAUCGUCUUUUAACGAUUCCUCGAACUUCCUAAAUAUGCAAACAUUCUAUUGAACAUGUAAAUGACGUCGUAAUUAUUUUAUAGAACAGGGUUUGACAAAAACCCUCCCAUUUCUUCAUGGAAAAAUUCGGCCAUUACAGUGCACUAACACCGUGAUUUUUCCUACUUAAUUUUUCUCACCAUUAUUCAUCAUUUUCUAAGCCAUUUCUCUUGAAAUAAUAACAAUCCAUCACCCACACACAUCAAGGAAGGUUCGGCCAAUGAAGAUUCAUGGGAAAAAUGGAUUCUUUUUUUGUUGUUUUGCUUCUAAAUAUGCUAAACUAACUAAAAACACUAACAUAUCUUAAAAUCAAUUCAAUCCAACAUCUUUCUCUCUCCAUACCCAUUUUGACCAGCCAUGAAUUCAUCAUGAAAACAUGUAAUUUAACUAUGGAAAAUAAGGAGAAAUGCUUAAGGAAAAUAGAUUUUAAGUUUAAAUUGAAUAAUCUUACCUUUUUCACUUAUUUCCUUGAUUUUCCACACUUUUUCUCUUUAAAUUCCCCACCUAGGGUUUGUUCUCUUCCUUUUUCCCUUUGUU